rnacentral:tRNA from 2 species
UGCCGGAUCGUCUAACGGUAGGACCGCGGACUCUGAAUCCGCUAAUCUUGGUUCGAGUCCAAGUCCGGCAG